AGUGAACGCUGGCGGUAGGCCUAACACAUGCAAGUCGAACGGCAGCACAGUAAGAUCUUGCUCUUACGGGUGGCGAGUGGCGGACGGGUGAGGAAUACAUCGGAAUCUACUUUUUCGUGGGUGAUAACGUAGGGAAACUUACGCUAAUACCGCAUACGACCUACGGGUGAAAGCAGGGGAUCUUCGGACCUUGCGCGAUUGAAUUAGCCGAUGUCGGAUUAGCUAGUUGGCGGGGUAAAGGCCCACCAAGGCGACGAUCCGUAGCUGGUCUGAGAGGAUGAUCCGCCAACAUGGAACUGAGACACGGUCCCGAACCCUAAGGGAGGCCGGCGUGGGGAAAAUUGGCGCAUGGGCCGAAGCCUGAUCCAGCCAUCGCGCCUGGGUGAAGAAGGCCUUCGGGUUGUAAAGCCCUUUUGUUGGGAAAGAAACGAAGCAGGUUAAUACCCCGCUGUUCUGACGGUACCCAAAGCAUAAGCACCGGCUAACUUCGUG
rnacentral:rRNA from 1 species